rnacentral:rRNA from 1 species
UACGGAGGAUCCAAGCGUUAUCCGGAAUCAUUGGGUUUAAAGGGUCCGUAGGCGGUUUUGUAAGUCAGUGGUGAAAGCCCAUCGCUCAACGGUGGAACGGCCAUUGAUACUGCAAGACUUGAAUUGUUAGGAAGUAACUAGAAUAUGUAGUGUAGCGGUGAAAUGCUUAGAGAUUACAUGGAAUACCAAUUGCGAAGGCAGGUUACUACUAAUAUAUUGACGCUGAUGGACGAAAGCGUGGGGAGCGAACAGG